GUGGCGGAGGGCAGCUAAUGGCGAUCAGUGCUGGAGGACCUGCUGGGGAAGGACAUCCCUCGUGGGGUUGAGACGUCCGUCUCCGAGAUGUGAAGGCUGCAGAGGACCCACCAGGAUCCCCUUGGAGGACAGCAAUGGGACUGCUUGAGGUCUUUGGAAGCACUUCAGUUCAGAAUGCCUUCCAAAGAAUGAAGCCCACCCACCCAUGGCUCAGCUAAUGGCGUUCACCGGACCAGGAACCCCGAGACCUGAAGGAGGAGCCGUGC